UCUUAUCAAGAGUGACGUAAGGGACAGGCCCAUUGACGUCCGGCAACCUGGUUUUUCUAAGGUGCCAAAUCCUGCGGUGAAGACCGAAAGAUAAGG
rnacentral:ncRNA from 1 species